AAUUGUCUUUUACUGUUUUCUACGUAGAGCUGGGAAGUUGUGAGGGUGGCACAUAAAGGUGAAAAUGGGGGGAAAAAAACGGGGUUUAUAGUUAGUGGAACUGGUCAAAAGGUUGAUCUCUCCAGCAGGGGAUGGUAUACCGAAGCUGAUGCUAGCACUCCCAGUGCUGUAAUGUGAAAUAGGUGGAAAUGGCAUCUGUCUGGAGUAGAGCUAAAUAUCGCGUUCCAGUUGCUGGCAAUCGGAUCUCUUACUGAAGCACACUAUUGUGAACAAGGCGCAGAUCAACAGGUUGAUCUUUUCAGCAGGGGAUGGUAUACUGAAGCUGCUGCUAGCACUCCCAGUGCAGUAAUGUGAAAUGGGAUCGGAAUGUGAGGUUUGCGCUCCAAGUGUCAGACCACAUUCAGGAUCACAGGACUUGCCAGUUCCCUUUAUUGAACUGGAGGGGAAAUAAUGGGUGGUGUUGGAGUUUCAUUGCAAUAAACCUGAAUGCACUGUUUCUGUAGGCCAAUAAAGUUUUUAGAGAA